rnacentral:rRNA from 1 species
AGAGUUUGAUCCUGGCUCAGGAUCAACGCUGGCGGUCUGCUUAACACAUGCAAGUCGAACGGGAAUCUUCGGAUUCUAGUGGCGGACGGGUGAGUAACGCGUGAGAAUCUGCCUUCAGGACGGGGAUAACAGUUGGAAACGACUGCUAAGACCGGAUGUGCCGAGAGGUGAAAUAUUUAUAGCCUGAAGAUGAGCUCGCGUCCGAUUAGCUAGUUGGUAAGGUAAAAGCUUACCAAGGCGACGAUCGGUAGCUGGUCUGAGAGGACGAUCAGCCACACUGGGACUGAGACACGGCCCAGACUCCUACGGGAGGCAGCAGUGGGGAAUUUUCCGCAAUGGGCGAAAGCCUGACGGAGCAAGACCGCGUGGGGGAGGAAGGUUCUUGGAUUGUAAACCCCUUUUCUCAGGGAAGAACACAAUGACGGUACCUGAGGAAUCAGCAUCGGCUAACUCCGUGCCAGCAGCCGCGGUAAUACGGAGGAUGCAAGCGUUAUCCGGAAUAAUUGGGCGUAAAGCGUCCGUAGGUGGCUGUUCAAGUCUGCCGUUAAAGACCGGGGCUUAACCCUGGAAAGGCGGUGGAAACUGAACGGCUAGAGUGCAGUAGGGGUAGAGGGAAUUCCCGGUGUAGCGGUGAAAUGCGUAGAGAUCGGGAAGAACACCGGUGGCGAAGGCGCUCUGCUGGACCAUAACUGACACUCAGGGACGAAAGCUAGGGGAGCGAAUGGGAUUAGAUACCCCAGUAGUCCUAGCCGUAAACGAUGGAUACUAGGUGUUGUCUGUAUCGACCCGGACAGUGCCGUAGCUAACGCGUUAAGUAUCCCGCCUGGGGAGUACGCACGCAAGUGUGAAACUCAAAGGAAUUGACGGGGGCCCGCACAAGCGGUGGAGUAUGUGGUUUAAUUCGAUGCAACGCGAAGAACCUUACCAGGACUUGACAUGUCCGGAACCCUCUUGAAAGAGAGGGGUGCCUUCGGGAACCGGAACACAGGUGGUGCAUGGCUGUCGUCAGCUCGCGUCGUGAGAUGUUGGGUUAAGUCCCGCAACGAGCGCAACCCUCGUGUUUAGUUGCCAGCAUUAAGUUGGGCACUUUAGGGAGACUGCCGGUGACAAACCGGAGGAAGGUGGGGAUGACGUCAAGUCAGCAUGCCCCUUACGUCCUGGGCUACACACGUACUACAAUGCUACGGACAAAGGGCAGCAAGUUAGCAAUGACAAGCAAAUCCCAUAAACCGUGGCUCAGUUCAGAUCGCAGGCUGCAACUCGCCUGCGUGAAGGCGGAAUCGCUAGUAAUCGCCGGUCAGCAUACGGCGGUGAAUCCGUUCCCGGGCCUUGUACACACCGCCCGUCACACCAUGGGAGUUGGCCACGCCCGAAGUCGUUACCCUAACCGCUUGCGGAGGGGGACGCCGAAGGCAGGGCUGAUGACUGGGGUGAAGUCGUAACAAGGUAACC